rnacentral:rRNA from 1 species
UACGUAGGGUGCGAGCGUUGCCCGGAAUUAUUGGGCGUAAAGGGCUCGUAGGCGGUUUGUCGCGUCGGGAGUGAAAACUCAGGGCUUAACCCUGAGCCUGCUUCCGAUACGGGCAGACUAGAGGUAUGCAGGGGAGAACGGAAUUCCUGGUGUAGCGGUGAAAUGCGCAGAUAUCAGGAGGAACACCGGUGGCGAAGGCGGUUCUCUGGGCAUUACCUGACGCUGAGGAGCGAAAGUGUGGGGAGCGAACAGG